UACGAAGGGGGCUUGCGUUGCUCGGAAUCACUGGGCGUAAAGCGCACGUAGGCGGGCUCUUAAGUCGGUGGUGAAAUCCUGGAGCUCAACUCCAGAACUGCUUCCGAUACUGAGAGUCUUCGAGUCCGGGAGAGGUGAGUGGAACUGCGAGUGUAGAGGUGAAAUUCGUAGAUAUUCGCAAGAACACCAGUGGCGAAGGCGGCUCACUGGCCCGGUACUGACGCUGAGGUGCGAAAGCGUGGGGAGCAAACAGG
rnacentral:rRNA from 1 species